UCUAAAUCGCUCUAGUGAUGUCAGGUUUC
rnacentral:piRNA from 1 species